rnacentral:ncRNA from 2 species
GGUCAUGAGUGCCAGCGCCAAGCCCCGGCUCGCUGGCCGGCAACCCUCCCACCGCGGCGGGGUGCCCCGGGUGAGGACCUGGCCCGUCGACGCCAUCCGGCGCUCGGGCAAGCGCGGAGA